rnacentral:rRNA from 1 species
GACGAACGCUGGCGGCGUGCCUAACACAUGCAAGUCGAACGGAGUUUAAUAACGGAAGCCUUCGGGCGGAAGAUAUUAAACUUAGUGGCGGACGGGUGAGUAACGCGUAAGCAAUCUGCCUAUCAGAGGGGAAUAACAGUGAGAAAUCACUGCUAAUACCGCAUAAGCUGUGAGUAUCGCAUGAUAUAAGCAGAAAAGGAGCAAUCCGCUGAUAGAUGAGCUUGCGUCUGAUUAGCUAGUUGGCGGGGUAACGGCCCACCAAGGCGACGAUCAGUAGCCGGACUGAGAGGUUGAACGGCCACAUUGGGACUGAGACACGGCCCAG